GAUGAACGCUAGCGGCAGGCUUAAUACAUGCAAGUCGAGGGGGCAGCAAUGUCACCGGCGAACGGGUGCGUAACGCGUAUGCAACCUACCUACAUCAGGGGGAUAGCCCUAGGAAACUGGGAUUAACACCGCAUAAUAUAAGCUACGGCAUCGUAACUUAUUGAAAUAUUUAUGGGAGGUAGAUGGGCAUGAGUAGGAUUAGCUAGUCGGUAAGGUAACGGCUUACCAAGGCUAAGAUCCUUAGGGGCUCUGAGAGGAGUAUCCCCCACACUGGCACUGAGAUACGGGCCAGACUCCUACGGGAGGCAGCAGUAGGGAAUAUUGGGCAAUGGAGGCAACUCUGACCCAGCCAUGCCGCGUGCAGGAAGACGGUCCUCUGGAUUGUAAACUGCUUUUGAAUGGGAAGAAUGUGCUUCUUGCGAGGAGUAAUGACGGUACCAUUAGAAUAAGCCACGGCUAACUACGUGCCAGCAGCCGCCGUAA
rnacentral:rRNA from 1 species